AUUCACCGCAAGGCAGUGUUUACUAGAGAUGACCUCACCUCCCGAGGCAGUGAAAGGCUUUGCUGAAAAGAACUGAAAUACCUCUGUGAUGAAUGAACUGGCUGCCAGGGAUCGGGCUGACUCAUGAAUAAGUUUCCGUUUUAUAAGGACUUUAUUGGGGCACCCUGGGCAUGCCUUUUGCCCUGCGUCCAGGCCUGGGGGAAGAUGAAGAAAGUGAGGCACAGAGAAGUUAAGUCACUCGCCCAGUGACACACAGUACGUGGUAGAGAAGAGACACAAACCCAGGCAGCCUGACUCCAGAGCCCACUAUGGCUUCCAUCCAACAGAGUGCUCACCAUGCGCCAGUCGCCUCCCAGGAGGUGUCUCCAUUGCUGGGACAUCUGUUUCAACAGAGAUAGGACCACGAGGCAACAGAAGCCCGGCCCUGCCCUCCUCUCAGGGCUUCGUGUGACACGUGAGAAAGCUGUUUGCACAGCAGAAAUCACGGAUGAGAGGGGGAAACCGAGGCACAGAGCAGUUGAGUCACUUGCUCAUAGUCACACAGUUAUUGGAUGGAGCCUGGCUCUGGAUCCCCUGCUCAUCACCACACUGCCAUAUUGCCAGGUGAUACAGUGCUUCCCAGCUGGCUUUCAUGAGACACAUUACUGUAUCACAAAAGCGGCAGCCUGGAGAGGUGCCGAAAGCCACCAGGGCUCCCCCACGGCUGUGGACCAAGAUCGGCGCUGUUGGGCAGCCAGUGGGAUGCUCUGGCGCCCCGAUGCCGGUGAAACCCAUGCCCUUUGCAAGGAAGGCGAACCCACCCAGAAUAAUUGUUGAGCCAACAGACAGCUUAAGCCACUUAUAAGCCCGGAGGUGCCAAGGAGGAGGCCCGGCAACGUGCUGCAGCUGCAGAGGUGAGCCAGAGUCACCCUUUCUGCCAGGUUUUUUUUGUUGUUGUUGUUAUUGUUAUCGUUGGUUUUCGGGAGGAGAGAAGGAACACUUGAAAAAUUUGCUGUUUUGCUUAAGGGAUUAAUUUUCACCUGUAGCAUCACAUGAGACUUGCAGCCACUCCCUCUCCCCUGUGCCGUCAUGUUUUACUGGUCUCUUUCAUUUUGCCAUGAAGAAACCUGAUGAGAAUGUUCUAGAAACUGCAGCCUGCAGGUGGGGAUGGGGGACACAGGGGAGAAAGAAGUUUACUCUCCCCGAUAGCAGGACGGAACUUAGAAGGCCGUUGGGUAUGAGAUUGGUCCUUAGAGAUGCUUGUUUUUUUCCAGCCUCCUUAUACAUUUAAGGGCUUUCCACAUUUGCCUAAGCAAAAAGAAUGAAAAAAAUUAUGGUAAUAAUAGUUAAUAUUUACUGAGCUGACUUUACAUGUAUUAACUCAUUUAACCCUUAUGACCACCCUAGCAGGUAGAUAUUCUUAUUAGGUCUAUUUCCAGAUGAGGAACUGAAGUGCAGAAAAGUAAAUAAGGUAAUGAAAAAUUCAAACUAUCAAAAUAUAAAAAGAGAUUGUCAAUAAAAGGGAACAACCUAACGUGGCUAUGACGUGGAUGAACCUCAAAAACUAUGCUUACUGAAAGAGUCACGACGCAGGAGAUCACGUAUUGUCUGAUUCCAUUUAUGUGAAACGUCUAGAAAAGGCAAAUCUAUAGAGACAGAAGGUAGAUAAGUGGUUGCCUGGGACAGGGGCUAGAAGCGAGGAGUAACAAUAAAUGGGCACGAGAGAUCUUAUUGAGAGAGAUGAGAUACUCUGAAACAGAUUUGUAGUGAUAGUUGCACAACUUGGUAAAUUUAUUAAAAACCAUCAAAUGGGGUGAAUUGUAUAAUAGGUGAAGUAUGCUUCAAUAUGUUGUAAAACAAAGAAAUGUAAUUAAAACAUAACAAUUAAACAUUUAUUGAGCACCUA